CCAGCUAUAGCACUGCCUUCCUGAGUGGGAGAAAGUGAGACCUUUCUGUUCUGUGUUCAAACAGAACAAAAUGCAGAAGCCAAUAGUAGACGUAGGAGUGAGACUCAAUUUGACUUUUCAAAUCUUUGUCUUUGCUAAUAACAGGAUGGGUUAUUACUAUUGAACAUGAUGAUUUUUUUAAAAAUGAAAGUUAUUAAACUUAGCAUGUGCUUAAGGGGUGGGGGGAGCAAGGGGAGUUCCAAGCACCCAAAGAAACCUGUAGGAAUAAAUCUUUGGAGCAAAUUCAAUAUCAAGCAGGAAUAUUCAGGUUGGGCUGUAUGUCUUAACAUUGAUCUCCUCCUGGACUAAUUAUGCCCCUCCUAAUACUGAUAGGGUGUAGCUAUACAAUGCCUUGCAGCCUGACCUAUGCUUCUCUGCCCACACUCUUAAAUAAUUAGAGAGGAGUUGGACCUUCUCUAUAAGCCUUCUAGCUUUGUUAUUUCAGUGCUGUGCUCAAUUUAAAAUGCAGUGCUGAGAGACUGGCCUUUUUUAACUUAGGCACAGCACCAGUCUAACCAAUCACUGCAGCUUUUGAACUGGAGCUGGUUUGCAUCUGAUCUUCUCUGAACAGGAGUGAGGAAGAUUGGGUCUGUCUGUGGUGUACCACCCCAUCAUACCCCAUGAUUGGUUCUGGUAAAUCAAAGCUGCUGACAACUAACUUAGCUGGUUUUUUUCAUGUUCCCUUCCUCAUGCUCUGUAUAUGUUCCUGAGAUGCCCAACUGCCAGUGGGAGUUUCUUGCACAGCCAACCACUUGAAAGAGAAGGAAUUCUUCAACCCCUUGUUUCAAAAGGCCUUGGACUGUUUUGUGCUGUUCGACUCCCUUCACUCCCCUAUUUCAGCAAACAAAAGAUCCUAAGAGGAGGAUGAGGCAGCUAAGAGGAAAACCCAAAAAAGAGACCUCCAAAGAUAAAAAGGAGAGAAAACAGGCGAUGCAAGAGGCCCGGCAACAAAUCACCACCGUUGUGCUUCCCACACUGGCUGUUGUAGUACUGCUGAUUGUUGUCUUUGUUUAUGUAGCGACUCGUCCAAAUACAACUGAAUGAUGCAGCUUUUCAGACUUUCUAGCUUUGGGGUAUUAUUAAUUUUUUUCAAGAGCCAAAAGGAACUCUCUGCCACUCUUUUAGUACUUUACAAAGGAACUUGCUGGUAUUUUCAGUCUUUCUCUUGGUUAGGGUCCCGCAGAAUCUCUUUAGGAAUGUAACAUAAAACGUAUUAGUGAAUGUGCCAGUACGUUUUAUGGUCCAGUUCAUGUGCCUUUCAGACUUUUAAAAUGGUGUUUUUCUUAAAUCUGUUUGAAGCUCUAUAUUGUAAAGGGAAAUCAUGUUCUGCUAUAAAUUUGUAAAAAAUCAGCUUUCAGCUUUUAUCACUGUUACGGAUAAUGUUGCUCCCAUGAGCUCUUGUAUGUCUAUUUCAGAACUUCCAAAGAAGUACAUUUCUUCUUUGUACUUAAUGUCAUAUGAAGUGCUUUGAUUCAGAAAGGAUAUAUUUAUUUUUUGAAUAAAAGAGAGAAGUCUUACUUGGAAUCUUCAAAUUAUUUUGCAAAGAAUGUGACUUAUUGUGAAGGCCUACAUUGUGUAAUAGUUUUUUCAUUAAACACUACAUAGUUCGCUCAAAAAGAAUUUCUUUUUGCCAUGAGGUGCCAACAUACAAAGUGAAUACUUCAGGAUCCGCUGGAAGGAAUCUUACAGAAGUUGGAAAGGGAGAUUCUACCAGUUUAUGGUGAAGUAACUAAUAACAAACUACAUAAACACAGAUAGUUGUUUAUCUGAAUGUUAAAUAUUUAAAUCUGUUUAAGUGGCAAUAAAAAGGUGAUUUUGGAUACA